AACAACUAGUUCUUUAUAAUUAUUUCACAUCACAAGCCAGACUAUAUAAAAAAAUUAAAAUAAGCCAUAUGAAUUUCACAUAUAACAUUAUCCACUUCAUAUAUCACUUCAUCCACAUCUGUGUUAAUCACUGACUGCAAGCUGAGUGUAUUAUAGUGGGAUUAGCAGCUAUGUUUCCCGAACAUAUUGCUUUUUUCUGUAACACUGAACUCAGUCAUGCCUUCUUUUCCAUCAACAUAGAAUAAGUAGAGAUAGUAUAAUCCCAUGUGACAGACUGAAAGCUAAGAUCUGGAAACAUUUACUUCGGUUUGAGAAAUUAAAUUCUGGGAUCCCACUUCUUCUGCAAUGUAGGAAAAGUGACCUGAGCCCUACAUCACAAUUCACACACCCAAAGAGAGUAAGGCCAUUUUGUGUAAAAAUUAAUUGGGCAGCAGGGAUUUCCCCGUGAUCUCAAAAUCCAUGCACUUAUUCCGCCUCCAAAUGGCCAAACAGACAUGAUUUUGAGUUACAGAAUUGGGUCAUAGCCAGGAGGUUAGUGCAUGAGAAUACGAUUCAGGAAUUACAAGAUGUAGGGGGCUUGCUUCUGGGAUUAGUGAAGAGAAUUGGACUGAGGGACUAGUGUGGAGGGUAGGGUUAGAGAUAAGGGUUGAAGCCUAACUGAAGUGGUCUGCAAUCUCCAUCUCACCCUAUUGGAUGGACUCAAAUCUCCAUGGAUCUCCACUGGAUCAUCAAUUUGAUGCUCUGAAGGGACCUGAGGACUUCUGAGCUAUCAAGAGAUUGUACCUUGCCAAUAGAAAUUCUAUUACUUCUUGACAAAAUUAUAAAAGAUGGACAGAAGGAAUCCUCUACUGGUGUUACUAAGUACAGUAUACUCACCUAGACAGACCUUUUGUCUGACAUUUUAUGGUUAGUUCCAUUUUCU